rnacentral:lncRNA from 1 species
AUAAAAAGUAGUGUGGCACACAUGAAACAGUCCUCUGGUCAAAACAGAAGGGAGAGCCACAAUUCAUACCACUGGAGCGCCUCCCCAGAAGACAGAUAUGAAGAAUAAGAAUGGUCCCCCCUAGGGACAGAGACUACUCUGAUUACAGCCGGUCAGACUAUGGGCAUUCUAAAAGAGGAUAAUCUUAUGAUGACAGCAUAGAAUCGAAACGGUCCCAGAAAUCCCUAUCUCCUGAAAGAAGGAGCCCAGACUGCAAGGAAUAUCCCAGAGUUCUACUCAGGAAGAACCUAUAUUGAACAAGAAGAGGAGGAGGAAGAGGGGGAGAAAGAGGAGGAGGAGGAGGAGGAAGAAGAAGAAGAGUAGGAGAAACAGGAAGAGCAGGAGAAAGAAGAGGAAGAGGAGGAGGAACUGCUGCUCACCUGCACUAGGGGAGCACAUAUUCCUCCCUCAAAGCUCAGGAUGAUGCAGGAACAGAUUGUAGAUAAAAACAUCUUAGUGUACUGUAGGAUAAUUUGGGAUGCUCUGAAGAAAUCAAUCAAUGGUCAUAUCAACAACGUCAAUAUCUCCAAUAAAAUUCCAGAGCUCCUUCAAGAGAACAUAGUCAGAGGGAGAGGAUUGCUGUCCAGACCUGUUCUGCAAGUGCAGAGUGCUUCUCCAAUCUUCCCUCAUGUUUAUGCAGCUUUGGUGGCAAUAAUCAACACAAAAGUCCCACAGACUGGAAAAUUAAUCCUCAAGAGACUAAUUCUUAAUUUUUGGGAAGGAUAUCAAAAGAAUGAUAGGCAAAUUUGCCUGACUGCUUCAAAAUUUGUGGCACAUCUUAUUAACCAAAAUGUGCACGUGAGGUUCUCACUUUGCUACUAGAGAGACCAACAGAUGACAGUGUUGAAGUGGUAUCAGCUUUCUCAAAGAGUGUGGUCUCUAAUCCAGGUGUCACAAAAGGGAAUCAAUGCAAUCUUUGGACUCCUGUGAAACAUUCUACAGCAGUCUGAGAUUGACAGAAGAGUUCAUUAUAUGAUUAAAGUGAUGUUUGUUGUACAGAAGGAUGGAUUCAAGGACCAGUCUGUUAUUCUGGAAGUACUUGAUUUAAUGGAAGAGGACUAUCAGUUUAUACAUAUGCACCCCUUGGAGGAUGACUACAAUCCAGAACAUGUUCUUAAUGUUUUCAAGAUUGAUCCUUAUUUUAUGGAAAAUGAAGAGACGAAGAACAAGUCUAUUAAAAAAAGAAAUCCCUGAUGAAGGAGACAGUGAUUCAAACACAGACCAAGAAGCUAGAAGCAUUGAAGAUGAGGAGGAGGAAGAGGAGAAAGAAGAAGAGGAAGGAGGGCAAAACAUAACUAUUCAUGACAAAACAGAAAUAAACCUAGUCUCACUUUGCCUUACAAUAGAGCUUGCCAUUCAGUCAAGUUUAGAUUUUGAAGAAUGUGCACACAAUUUGCUGAAAAUGGAGUUUGCUGAGAGCCAAACAAAAGAACUCUGCAACAUGAUACUUGAUUGCUGUGCCCAACAAAAGACCUAUGAAAAAAAUUGGCUUGUUACCUGGGUGGUUUUGUAUGUUGAAAAAAGAAUACAUUGAAUCAUUUGAACGUAUAUUCAAGGAACAGUACUACACCAUCCUUCGUUUAGAGAUAAACAAAUUGAGAAAUGUUGCUAAGAUGUUUGCUCACCUUUUAUACACAGAUUCACUUCCAUGGAGUGUUCUCAAAUGUAUAAAUCUGAGUGAAGAGAACAUGACAUCAUCUAGUGGGAUUUUUGUCAAGAUCUUCUUCCAGGACUUGUGUGAAUACAUGGGUCUUCCUAAACUGAAUGCAAAAUUAAAGGAUAAAACGCUUCAGCCUUUCUUUCAAGGAUGGUUGCCCCAAGACAACCCAUGAAAUACCGGGUUUGCCAUCAAUUUCUUCACUUCCAUGUCUCGGGGGUUUAACUGAUGAACUUUAAGAACAUCUGAAAAAUAUGCCCAUGUCAUUGUAGUACAGAAACAAGAAGCAAAGAAACCAGCCCUGACAUCUUCAUCUUCAGAGUCUUCCUUGGCAUCCAAUUCCUCUGACUCAGAUUCUAACAGUGGCAAGAGCAGCUCAGAGUCCUCCAGUGAAGCAAGCGAAUCCUCCUCCUCUGGUAGUCAGAGCUCUGCCCAGCUAAAGGUACAAAGAAGAAGCAAGGGAAAGCCAGAGGAGAAGAAGUAGAUAAGUUAUCCAGGGCCCACCGGUCAUGUGACAGGAGGCUAGGAGAACCAAAGAAACCAGGAAGGGAGGGCUGUGAGAGCAAGGAUUGAAAGACAUAGAACUCAGAACUCAGGAGACACAGACUGGCAAGAUCCCCUAGAAAAGCACAUGGAAGACAGAAGCCAUGAGAAUAGUUACAGCAGAGUUGGAAAAGUCUGAGAACAAGGCUCACACAGAGAGCCAGAAGACAAGCAUGGCGCACCAAAGAAGAAGUGGAGAGAGAGAAGAGAUUUCUUUUUCUGAAAAUGAGAAACACAGAACCCAAAAUCAGGACAGUGAUAAUGUCAGAAGAAAGGAUCACUCCAAGUCAAGAGAGAGGAGUAGAAAGCAUUCUGGCCAUAAAGGAGAUGACAACAGGUGUCAGAAUGGUGCCAAGAGAUGCUGGGAAAAGCCUAGCAGAUGCCCUGAACAUUCUAGAGAAUCACAGAGAAGUCAGGACGAGAGGAGAUAAAAGUCUCCAACAAAACAAAAAUAA